UCCUAAAUGUGUUGACCGCAUCUUUUAUUAUCGUAUAGAUUUCAAUCGUGGGGUUUGGAUUGAGAGUUUGAGAUUGGCGCUUCUCUCACAAUAGUGUGAGUAGUUGAGUUCGUUACUUAGCACACAACACAACCAAACCCUAAAACACUUGCAGAAAAUGGAAGAAAACGACAGAAGAAUCCUCGAGAGGGAGAUGUAUCAAAUCGAGCAGAUUCGCCAGCUCGAUCUCGAGGAAUUGCAGGUCGAAGAGGUUGACGAUUUCCAAAAUUCUUCCGACGACGACGAUAACAACAACCACCGUGAUCCUACUCAUGGCUAUGACAGCACAGGCAUCCUGGGUGAAUUCACUUACAAUAUUUGUGUAGCAUCCUUACAUUCAUAUCUGGGUGAUGUUGAAGACACACACCACAGGACAGCUUUCUUGGAUGGUGGGGCUGUAUUGAACCUUCCACUUUUCUGUCUUCAAGGAGUUGUACUCUUUCCUGGGGCUACUCUUCCCCUGAGAGUUAUUGAAUCCAAUUUUGUGGCUGCUGUUGAGAGAUCUUUGAGUCGAGUUGACGUUCCUUACACCAUUGGUGUGAUUCGAGUUUACAGUGAUACUGCAAAUCAUAGCAUGAAAUCCGCAAGCAUUGGGACAACUGCAGAGGAGUUGUACUCUUUCCUGGGGUUACUCUUCCCCUGAGAGUUAUUGAAUCCAAUUUUGUGGCUGCUGUUGAGAGAUCUUUGAGUCGAGUUGAUGUUCCUUACACCAUUGGUGUGGUAGAUUCGAGUUUACAGUGAUACUGCAAAUCAUAGCAUGAAAUCCGCAAGCAUUGGGACAACUGCAGAGAUUCGACAAUAUGGGCGCCUAGAGGAUGGUUCCCUGAAUGUGGUUACUCGUGGACAGCAGCGAUUUCGCUUAAGACGGUGUUGGAUCGACGUGGAAGGAGUGGUUAGAAUAUUUUCAUGUUUACUGCUUUUUUUAUAAAAAUUAAUCUUCGCAAACAUUUGUAUAAAGAACAAUGAACUGUUACACUUUGUUGAAUUUAAUUAAUCAUUCAUUGAAUAUAA